rnacentral:sRNA from 1 species
UAAUCGUAAUGCGACGGACACUCAGUUGU